CAAAGCCUGCACAGAGAGAAAGCCAAACCACGGCCAUGAGCUGCUGUGAGACAGAAAAAAAGAGACCAGUACAAUAUUUUGGUCA